GCUAGAGUCAAGAUACAUGAUUAAAACUGAUGAGUCAGAGCAAAUCAUAAUAAAGAAACUAAGAGAAUUACAAGAGAAGGAGGGAAACUGUUGAAAAAAUUGCAGGAUAAGUUUGAUAGUGUAUGUGAGAGUUCACUGGAGGCUAUUGAUGCACUUGAAAGUAUUCAAAGAAUAACAAGAAGUGGAGGAACAGAGUCAUAACAUUAAUACAAUCAAAUUCAAAAGUAACUAUUAUUGUCACACAAAAAA